rnacentral:ncRNA from 1 species
GAGCGCCGUGUGCGAUGAAAGUUGCACGCACGGUGCGAACCGGGGGAAAAGGAGCCCUACGGGUAAUGCCGAGGGGUCACUAACCUAUCGGUAC